AAUUGAUUAUUAUGCACUUGUAAUAAUCCAUUAUAGGUUUAUCCAAAACGUAUUUAUUCUAAUCAGGUUAACAAAUAAAUAUUUGUGUGAUUUUUUUAUAAAAUUUAAAAUUAUAUAUCCGCUAUACCAGAAAAUAGAUUCUUUACAAUUUCUUAUGUAUUUACUUAAACAUAUUAAGAGUAAAUUAAAUAAAUAUGAAGCAGUGUUCGUAAGUUUUAAAAAAUAUGAUGAAUAUAGCAUAGGGAACAAGUUUAUAACAAGAUACAUCCAACAUUUUAUUUUAUCCUUUUUUAAUUCAAAGCGUUUCAAAUAUUAUGAAAAGAAAAAAAAUUCAAAAAAUUCAAAAAAAAAUUUCUUUUACUAUUUAUUAUGCUCUAUUGUUUUUAAAUUGUGCAAAAAACAUCGUUUUACUAAUAAACGAGUAAAUCUUAAUGAGAUAAAAAAAAUAAAAAAAAUAAAAAAAACAAAAAAAAUAAAUAAAAUAAGCAUUUUUAUUUUCAAUUCGCUGCUUAUUACAUUAAAUGAUUUCACCUACAUUUUAUUGUAUGAUUAUACGCAUUCAUCAAAGCUACGUAAACUGAUUUUAUUUUUAUACACCCUAUACAAACAUUUUUAUGAAUUAAUUUAUGUUUGUGGCAAAUUCAGUUAUCAGCAGUAUUGUCAGAGGAGAAACGAAAACAUUUACGACCGUGUCAAAUAUUGUAUGAGUAACGACAUAGACAAUAAUGAAAACGACUGUUAUGACAACAUAGUAAAUUCAAACCCAACUCGCUUCAUUGAUCAUAAAAUUAGAAAUAUAAAAAACAAUAAACAAAAUUACAAAACAUAUAUGAAUAAAAUACGCAAAACAGACACAAUUUUAUUUAAUAAUGUUCAAUUAAAAAACUUCGAAGCAUAUAUACUUUUAUUUAUAUUUAAUAAGGUUACAAAUUUACACUGUUUGGAAAAAGGUAUGCUUAUGAGUUUAUUGUGUAUAAAGAUCAGAGCACACAAAGAUAAAUUGCAAAUAGACAAAACACAAAAAAAUAAAACAAAAGUAAAAGAGACAUUGGUAGCAGAAAAAGAGAUGGUUAAUAUUGGAGCAGGACAAAUAGAUAAAAAAAAAAGAAGUGGUAAUACAUUUAUUCAUUAUAAAAACAUUGAAGAAAUAACUAAAUUUGUUACUAAAUAUGUAAAAGGACAAGAAGGAGAAGGAGGAGUUAACCAAAACGGUGACGAAGGCAAAAACAGGGAUGAAUACAAAAACAAGGAUGAAGACCAAAACGGGGACAAAGAGGAGAAAACAAAUAAAAAUAAAAACAAGUAUACAAUACAGAACGAGUAUGCAUUAGUACGCAUUCAUAUGAUUAUACAACAUAUUUAUGAUUACCUGUUUUGUAGUAUCGGAAACAGUUUAAGUCCGUCUUCAAAACAAUUAAGUAUGAUUAACUCACAGCACUUAAAGAAAGAUGAUAAAAUAUGUUCUUAUAACAUUUUCUUUUGUUAUAUAAAUAAUUUAUGUGUGAAAUAUUUAUCUUUU
rnacentral:lncRNA from 1 species